rnacentral:pre_miRNA from 1 species
UAGAUAGAUACAUACAUACAUACAUACAUAUGCAUGUAUGUAUAUCUGUAUGCAUGUAUGUAUGUAUGUAUGUAUGUA